rnacentral:rRNA from 1 species
AAUGAACGCUGGCGGCAGGCCUAACACAUGCAAGUCGAACGGAUCCUUCGGGAUUAGUGGCGGACGGGUGAGUAACGCGUGGGAACAUACCCAAAGGUACGGAAUAGCCUCGGGAAACUGGGAGUAAUACCGUAUGUGCUCGAAAGAGGAAAGAUUUAUCGCCUUUGGAUUGGCCCGCGCUGGAUUAGGUAGUUGGUGGGGUAAUGGCCUACCAAGCCGACGAUCCAUAGCUGGUUUGAGAGGAUGAUCAGCCACACUGGGACUGAGACACGGCCCAGACUCCUACGGGAGGCAGCAGUGGGGAAUCUUAGACAAUGGGGGAAACCCUGAUCUAGCCAUGCCGCGUGAUCGAUGCAGGCCUUAGGGUUGCAAAGAUCUUUCAGGUGGGAAGAUAAUGACUGUACCACCAGAAGAAGCCCCGGCUAACUCCGUGCCAGCAGCCGCGGUAA